UACGUAGGGCGCAAGCGUUGUCCGGAAUUAUUGGGCGUAAAGAGCUCGUAGGCGGUUUGUCGCGUCUGCUGUGAAAACCUAAGGCUCAACCUUGGGCUUGCAGUGGGUACGGGCAGACUAGAGUGCGGUAGGGGUGACUGGAAUUCCUGGUGUAGCGGUGGAAUGCGCAGAUAUCAGGAGGAACACCGAUGGCGAAGGCAGGUCACUGGGCCGCAACUGACGCUGAGGCGCGACAGCGUGGGGAGCAAACAGG
rnacentral:rRNA from 1 species